CUUCGUGGACACUACGAAUAUUCGAAGCAUAUAUGACUAGGUACUUCUUCACUAUAAAAUGUCUCGUUCUCUAUUUCUUCGAAAAUUGUAGUGACAACCGCCCGUAUUUAUUUCUAAUCUUCCCAACAAAGUCAUGUAGCUAGCAGUUUGUAACUCCGAUGGCAUGUCGAGAGAUUUAACCUCUACACCCAAUAAUCCAAUAUCAAACGUCUAUUCUACUCUUGUUUUCUCCUCCUCAAGCAUUAGACAAUUCCUCAUACCCGAGAACGGAGAACCUCCAGUCCUCCACCACGAAACCAAUUAGUGAAGCAAAACAUAUUUCAAAAUUAUCCCUCCUGCGGCCUUUUUUGUGUUUCAUCUGAUCAAGAAAAGAUAAUGGAAGCCAAUUAACUAGCAGUCGGUUUUGGUGACAUGACAUUUUUCUCCAACAAAGUAUCUAACGAUACUUUCAAGUUCAACUCCUUCCUCCUCCAUUGAUCAGAAAACAACGGAAAAAGGAAAACUAUCUCAGCUUGCUUGUGCAUAGGCAUCAUAGCUAGCAACCCUACAAAACCAUCAAUUAAGUUCAGAAAGCAAAUGAACAUGCCGCUGGCAGUUGACAUCUCAAAUGAGAACCAGUAUGUGAGUAGAAAUUCACCUGACUACUUUGCACUGCACUUAACAUGGUUGGACCAGUUCACUAGCAAUCUAAUCCACCCCUUAGGAGACUUGCAAUAAUGGUAUCAACCUCUCGAGGAAACUCCAGUCCUAUUUCGCCAUUUCGAUAGCGAAACAUAUCUUUCAAUCGGGUAAACUGUUGCUCAAGCUUAGGCGAAUGUUCAAUCAUAAAAUAUAUUGGGGUGGAUUUUUCUUUUUGAGGGGAUCCUUAAUUGGUCAGGUGAAGUUAUGUUACUAUUAUCAUUUCUUUUGAAUUAAGCAUCUUAAUUGAGUAAAUUGGUGAACCAAUUUAGAUUUGUUGUGAACCUUAAUGCUGGGCUUUUAGUCCAUUAGGUCUCGGCCCAAUCCAAAUUAGAAUCUGAAGUGUGAAACCAACCCAGAAGACGAAGCUCCUAAAAUCUCCAAGAUCUAAAACCCUCCUCGCAAAGUCGCAAAGCAGCUGGAAAUCCCUGAAUCGUGAAAAGCAAAAGCAAACAAAUUGCAAAGGAAGCAUCAGAGCUUGUUUUUGUAUUUGGAAAUGUUUGGUCGACGUAAAUUCCUCUCCUUUCCUUUAGUUAUCGGAGCAGUCAUAAUUGGAGUUGCUUCUGGCAAGGCAAUCUUUGGACCCCCACUUGAGGAGUACUGGACAAAGAAGCAGCAGGAAGAAGCAGCUGCAAAGGAGACUGAUGCAAGCUCAAAGUAACCAAUCUGGUAUCGCAUUCCCUCAUGUUUGAUUGUCCCAUGGUGGUGCAAGCCAGGAGAUGAAGAUAGUUUAUUAAUUAGUUCAUUCAUUUACACUUCAAGAAUAUGAUGAAGGCAACAGCAAUCCGCAACUGUUUCUAGAAGCUGUCAUAGUUAAAGAAGAAAGUACUCUGCUUGCUCAAUUGUAUUUUUUCUCAGGUUGCCCAAUUGUAAAAUUUCAAUGACAAUGUUUUUCAGCUUACUGAUAUAAGGAGGAAAACUGUUCUGGUAUAAAAUUCAUGCAGACUAAUAAGCUUUUUGAUCUCUCCAUAUGUCAAAUUUUUUAUUGAAGUUGUUAGAACUUUAUCGAUGGAACAUUUUCUGUUACCACUUACCAGAAAUGAUAAUGCAAAAUUUUGAAA